rnacentral:rRNA from 1 species
UACGUAGGGGGCAAGCGUUGACCGGAAUCCUUGGGCGUAAAGGGUGUGUAGGGGGUCUUUUUAGUCUUCUGUCAAAAUUCGGGGCUCAACCCUGAACUCGCAGAGGAAACGGAAAGACUCGAGGGUGCGAGGGGUGAAUGGAACUCAUGGAGUAGGGGUGAAAUCCGUUGAUAUCAUGGGGAACACCAAAAGCGAAGGCAAUUCACUGGCGCACAUCUGACACUGAAACACGAAAGCGUGGGUAGCGAACGGG